CACAUAUUAUAUUUUCAGUGUAUUAUUAUUCCGAUUUUCAAUUGUUACUCUGAAAUGUUUUCUGAAAGAAAUUAGCUAUUCAUUGUUAUUGUAUUCUUGCAUAAAUUUCAUUUCCCGUAGAAGAUCUUGUCAUCUUCGUUUUGAAUUCUUACAAUUUUUUUCAUUAUAUUAUCUGUAUGAAAUUUCUUAAGUAUACAUAUUCUCUAAACCAUCAUUCGAAUUUAUUAAAAUUUAUUAUUUUCUUGUAUUCAAAUCCAGAAGUAAUUUCACAAAUUCAAAAUUUUCUCGUAAAUUCAGUUAUUGUCUCUUACUGCAUGUUUCAUAUCUUUUUAUUUUUGAGAGGUGGUUGUUAUAGAAAUGUUCAAUUUGAUUUUUAUAAGAAUGUCCGUCCAAUAUUGAUUGUUAAAAAAAUUUCCCUAUGUUGAGUUUAAUUUCUAUAGUUUCUACUAGCUGACCCGGCCACGCGUUGCUGUGGCUGAAGUUUUUGUUAUAUUACAUUAUAGUAAACAAUCUAAGAGGAACGAUAAAAGAACAUCAGACACGGAGUCCACUAUGCUUAUUUACACAGAUGGUAUUUGAAAAAAAAAUGGUGAUCUCCUUAUUUGACUUUCUACUACUAUAACCCUUUAGUACAAUGAAAUUAUUUACGAACAAAGACGAAAAUGUUGAUGGUGGUAUACAAAUUCACUGGAUUGAGAUUUGAAGGGGAAACAUGGCGAAAGCUAAACGAAUUGGAAACUGUAGCCUUUUGAAGGGUAUGGUAGAAUCUGAUGGUAUCAUCGGAAUACGUGGCAGCAAAACCACUUUUCCUUUAAACUUCCCAGCCAAAAUGGUUGCUUCAAGAAUGUUACCGGUGAUCUUUUUGAUGACCAAACGCGUACCGUUACAUAAUUGAGGCGGAUUCAAAUUACGGAGGAGAAUAAUAGGGGAACCAAUCUUUAAUCGAAGAUUAUGUGGUGGCAUUCCAGGUAUAUCUAAUGAAUUUAAAAAUUCAAUCGGAAAAUUGCACAUUGAAAUAAUAAGUGCUAAAUAAUAGAGAUUAAAUAAAAACAAUAAAAAAAAAUAUUUGUACAACUAUUGAAAAAGUGUAGGAAAUUGUGUAUCAUUUUUUCAUUGACAUUUUAAUUAAAUUUUAUAAUUAUGUGAUAAUACUUACAUACAUAUAUUCAAAUUAAAUUAUAAAGUUUUGAUCAAUGAAGCACAAAUAAGUAAAAAGCAGGAUUAAUUUCACUGUAUUAUCUUCAUUAUAAUAUGAAUUCAAUUAACAUUUCAGUCUAAGUAACACGUGGCCGGCUAUGCUAACACCAAAAAUUUAAAAAGUGGAAAUAAUUGAAUUAUGCGGUAUUUCGUUCACUACAAAAUAAAUUUAAUUAAUUUUAUAGCGUCAACAACACGUGGUAAUUAUGCUGUGAAAAUGUAGCUUAUAUGACACGUUCGUAGAUUUACCAUAGCAGCGCCAUCUAUUGAUUACUUACUCAACCCAGUCGAAAGGUAUCGACAUCUGUUAGAAUCAUUUGGAGUUAACAGAUAAUUUUGACUGUCAAAUAAUAACAGACGAAUAAUUAGCAAUAAAUUAAAAUUGCGACUAUAAUUUGAGAUUUAAACUAUCCUAUCUCUCAAGUUGGAUCGAACUGCACAUGGUGUGCAAAUUUUAUUAUAAUCGGUUAAGUGGUUUAGGAGUCCAUUGAGGACAAACAUUGUGACACGAGAUUUAUAUAUAUUAAGAUUUUUUCUACUAAUGUUUAACAUUUAUCUGAAUAUGAAUAAUUAGAAUGGUCGACAAAAAAAAUGUUUUUGUAGUAACACAAGAAUGAAUAACAUAUUGUGAUAAAAUGGAAAAUAUGAAAAAAAUAAAUAAUUGUAACACGUAAGUUACGUUUUUAAGUUACAUUUUCAGAAUCAUAUUCAUUUGUAAAAUAUUUAAAAUAUUUAUUGAAAAAAAUAAUUUCACUUUUUUUAAAUCUUAUAUAUUGACAAUAUUUAUAGUUUACAUCUAGUAAACAUGCUUCACGUGUAUUAAAAACAAAAAUUUUAAAAAAAUCCCUUUCAUUAUCAAUUAGCUUUUUCCUUUUAUGAGGGGUUGCACUUUCUCUUUUUGAAAAACAAACCGUAAUCACCCAUUAUUCUAAUAUCCUGGUAGGUCCUUUCACCUCGCUGCUCAUCACUGAAAGCUCCCAAAUUUUCGGGAAAAAAUGUCAGACGCGAAUAGAGAUGAUGAAUUUUCAAUGACAUUCGAGCACUAAGGGAUUUGUAGGCGUCCCCUCACUACACUAACAAAUGCAUUCCACGGUAUAAGUUCCUGCGUGGUCAUCGUCCGGCAAUUUUCUUAUUUGUGGCUCAAUAAAAAUACCUUCCAUUAAUUUGGCAUCGCUCAACUGGCGAAAAAUUUCUCUAAGGUAUUUGAAUUUCACCAUAAAUAAACUGCGGCGCGUUUGACUCGACACUUUCGUCUUUAUAAUCACUUUUUGCACUAUGAACAGAAGAGAACCGCUUACCAUGAAACUCAACAAAAUACUAAUUUUUAAUGUUAUUUUUAUGUUUAUUAUUCUGAAUAAUACAGUUCAGGUACUUUUUCGGCCAUAAUAUUUACCGAUUCUAUCCGCCCCUCUAUAAAAUUACCUACCUGCUAGCCAAUAAAAAUAGGGAUAAUUGAACUAUUGAAAAGUCCUAGAUAUUAGGAAUUAAUGAAUAUUUUUUCUAUUAUUAGAGGAGUAUUUUCAUUUAAAAAAUUAAUUUCUCACCUGUGUUACGAAAUUCUUUCGACCAUUGUUAUUAUACAUAAAAAUUAAGGGAUAUAACAUAAAAUAUUGGGGUGCAGUAAGUUUUAUUUUUAUAUAAAUGAGGGUAAUGAAUUAAUUAAAAGGCUAGGUAAUGACGAUAAAUAGCGACUUGUGAUUAAUUGAUCCGAGAAUUAACUUUUGACGAAAUGCUGCGUUUCUUUACUGACAGGCCAUUCUGGAUUUUGAGCUGCGGGUACUGGUACUUGUUUGAUUUGUAGGUGCAUAGUCAGUCGUCUGGUGACGUCUCGUUUCGAGGGUUAGCAGUUUCAUCCGGUCUAUAGUUUUCAUUUUUCUAUUGCGGGGACUUGAAAAUGAUGGAAGUUUUUUAUCAUCAUUUUUCAUAACAUUUAUCGUAGGGCAUAGCAUGUGAAACGAGUUUUUUAUCAUGUCGUGGCGUGAAAAACGUGACUAGGAUCUUGGAAUAAAAACUGGAAAACGGUCGAAGGAUGAAAAAUGUCGUGAAUGAGGGAGGGUGUACCUGUUUAAUGCAUUUUUACGCGAAAUUUUAGAUAAAUGAGGAUAAUGAAUUAAUUAAAAGAUUAGAUAAAUACGAUAAAUAGCGGCUUGUGAUAAAUAAAUCCGAGAAUUAGCUUUGGACGAAAUAUGGCGGAUCGCAGAAGAAAUCUAACCACCUAUCGCUGACAUAGCUGAAGUUGUCAUUCAAAUAUUGUAGAAAUUUGGAAUUUAUAUUGGACUGAUGAAAUUUCUAUCAACAAUUAACCUCUCAAAUUAUGUUAAAAUAAAUUUGAAAAUUUGUUUUAUAUUCACAAAGUUCAUAAACGAUCCACGUCCUAUUUUUUAUGCACGCACUAUUUUUAUAAUUGCGACAGAGUAAUAAUUGUUAGCGUUAUUCCUUUCAAAACUAAUAUAUGUUCAACAACUUGGCAACUUAGUAAUUUGCUUUUGGUAAUAAAUAAUCAUCUCACUAAUUUUCCAAUCAAGACUUUGAUUAGACUAGAGAAUAAAUCGAGGGGUGCAUGAAAUUUCUAUCAACAAUUCAACCGCUCGUAUUAGGUCGUACCAAAUUCCUGAAAGUCUCAACAUCUCCCUAACUACUAAAUAAAUAUUUUUCAGAGUUUUCAUAUUUUCUGUGUGAAAAACCAAAUAAUAAAACCAAAACAAAUAUUUGACAGAUUGGGAAUAAAUUAAAAAGUCUCAACGUAUUUUUUAUCACAAUUUAUUUCAACAGUGAGCUGUUUGUUAGCUUCGCUUCUACUCUCCCGUCCUAGAGGCUCGAAAAAGUAGCAAGUUACUGAGCCACUCCACCAACUUCAAGGUCUUACAGCUCCCAGGAGUGGACCUAACCUAAGCUUACAUUUAAUCAACUAAUUUUAAACAUAUUUACAAA